rnacentral:rRNA from 1 species
AUCGAACGCUGGCGGCAGGCUUAACACAUGCAAGUCGAACGAGUGGUGGACGGGUGAGUAAUGACUGGGAAACUGCCUGAUGUCGGGGGUUAACUACUGGAUACGGUAGCUAACUCCGCAUACCAUUAGAUGUGCCUAGAUGGGCUUAGCUUGUUGGUGGGGUGACGGCUCAUCAGGGCGACGAUGCCUAGCUGGUCUGAGAGGAUGACCAGCCAAACUGGAACUGAGACACGGUCCAAACUCCUACGGGAGGAAGCAGUGGGGAAUAUUGCACAAUGGGCGCAAGGCUGAUGCAGCCAUGCCGCGUGUAUGAAGAAGGCCUUAGGGUUGUAAAGUACUUUCAGCGGGGAGGCGUUACCCGCAGAAGAAGCACCGGCUAACUCCGUGCCAGCAGCCGCGGUAAUAC